rnacentral:tRNA from 1 species
GCCGGGGUGGCGGAAUUGGUAGACGCGUCGGUCUCAAACACCGAUGGGGGCAACCCCGUGCCGGUUCGACUCCGGCCCUCGGCACCG